UCUCCGUUGGUGAACCUGCGGAAGGAUCAUUAAAAAUGAAGCCGGGAAACCGGUCCUUCUCACCCUUGAUUAUCUCAAAUUGUUGCUUUGGUGGGCCGCGCAAGCACCGGCUUCGGCUGGAUCGUGCCCGCCAGAGGACCACAACUCUGUAUUAUAUGUCGUCUGAGUACUAUAAAAUAGUUAAAACUUUCAACAACGGAUCUCUUGGUUCUG
rnacentral:misc_RNA from 1 species